CACAGUUCCCCCUAGCGGUCGGAUUCGGAAAUGUCCCUAAAUACACACAUAGGGAAACUAAUCCCUUUAUACAGGAUAAGAACAAACUUGAUGACGGCUGAGAACUGUUUCAUUGCCUCUGUGCGGUGUGAGAAGACGAGUGGAAGAACAUCAAUGGAAAUGUCCUGACCUCAAACCCACUCAACACCUUUGAGAUGAAUUGGAGCAUUGACCUCACUUCAGACCUCCUUACCAACAACAGGAACAUAUAAGAACUUCUUCAAGGCCUACCUGUUUCUCCACCUUAACUACACGUCCCAUCAUGCUCAGCUCGUCCAGUGGAUCCAGUUCCGGAGGAGUCUUUUCACCUUUUUCUGUCCUUCCCCUUUUAUCAGACAGAACAGCACCACGGCCUAUAAUCUGAUCUACCCUUUAGGCAGAAGAAUUAGUCAGUGCAGUCUAUAACUUUGUGUGUGUGUUUCUAUUUAAUUCUCACAUUUUAGUUUCAUUUUUGUAAAAUUAUAUUAAAUGUAUACUUUCAAUGUAAA